rnacentral:misc_RNA from 1 species
GAUGAAGAACGUAGCGAAAUGCGAUAAGUAGUGUGAAUUGCAGAAUUCAGUGAAUCAUCGAAUCUUUGAACGCACAUUGCGCCCCCUGGUAUUCCAUGGGGCAUGCCUGUUCGAGCGUCAUUUGUACCUUCAAGCUCUGCUUGGUGUUGGGUGUUUGUCUCGCCUCUGCGUGUAGACUCGCCUCAAAACAAUUGGCAGCCGGCGUAUUGAUUUCGGAGCGCAGUACAUCUCGCGCUUUGCACUCAUAACGACGACGUCCAAAAGUACAUUUUUACACUCUUGACCUCGGAUCAGGUAGGGAUACCCGCUGAACUUAAGCAUAUCAAUAAGCGGAGGA